CGCUGCUGUCAGUAUUUCUAGUCGGAAGCGCCCAUACAUCGGCAGAUUUCAUCAAAGGCGAAAUCACCUGUUUGAUCCCAAACAGCAAGACAUGUAGAAGAGAGAGAGGGAAAAGGAGAGUGAGAGAAGAGGGCGUUGAUCCAACUUAUGACAGCAGACUGCAGGGGAGGAGCUUUGUCCUGGAUGACCUCUACUGGUGCUGCAGCAGCCUAAGAAAACAAGGAAAAAUCAAUGAGAGCCUAACUGCCCUGGAUGUGUGGCUUAGCUAAAAGAGGAAACUUCAUAAAUGGAGAUGACUGGCAGCAGAUCACCCCUUCCACCAGCUAGAAAAAACAAAAUGCAUCUUAACAUCUGGGUCUGAACUAUGCUGCAUAUAUUAUUUUCAAUGUGUUUGUUUGCAUUGAGUGUGUGUAUGUGUAUGUCUGAGACUGUCUUGUGUGUGUGUGUGU